AAGAUCAUACUUCACAGGAUCAUUUCUGUAGUAUAUCUUCACAUACUCUACAUUCAAUUGUGGAGUCGUUGCAAUCGUGAUGAUGAGAUGUAGCGUAGCGAUUUGAGCGUGAGGAGGAUUAAUUUUAAGGCCUGAAUUGGUCUUGGAUGAAAUCAUCGAUGAUCGUUCGCCCAAUCAUUUAGAUUGUGUUAAGAUCGUUACGCAAUCCGAGCGAU